CUGCUUCCCUGACCAUCUGGCUGAGCCGGGAGCGGAGCCGGAGCUGGAGCGGGAGGGGGAGUCCUGGUCCAGGGUGGGAGGCGGCUGCGGCAGCGGCGGCGUCCCCCUCCAUCCUCUCCCUCCUCCAGCCCUUCCCGGCCCCUCCUCCCCCUCCGCUGCGGCCAGACGCCGCCCCGCCAGCUGCGUCCUGGUCCUGGUUCGGGUCCCGGAGCUAGCGGAGCCGGAGCGGGAGCCCGAGCGGGAGCCAUGGGCUGCGGAAACUCCACAGCCACCAGCGCCAGCGCGGCCCGAGGACAGAAGAAUCAAUAACAGAUGAUGACAAGAGAAGGAACUAUGGAGGGGUCUAUGUUGGCCUGCCGUCAGAUGCUGUCACAAUGGUGUCCAGUCAAACAAAGAGUGCACGAAAAGAUUAGAAGAAAAUUAUAUCCUGAUGUAAUAAACAAGAGGUAUGACAUCUUUGUGAAAUAUUUGUGCAUGUCUCACAUUUAUGAUGACCUAAGUUCUGAUAUUCACCACAUAAACAUGCUUUUCAUUGGGGAUCAGUGGGUAUAUAGCAGAAGUAACACUGUACCUCAGAUAAAGUGGUGGACUUGGAGCCAGGAGCACCUGUAUCCAGAACUUGUGUUUUUGAUACUUACUAGCUGUGUGACCUUGAGGAAACCACAUAAUCUUUAUGAAGCUCAGUUCCCUCAUCUGUAA
rnacentral:lncRNA from 1 species